rnacentral:rRNA from 1 species
GGUGCUAUACAUGCAAGUCGAGCGAACAGAUGAGAAGCUUGCUUCUCUGAUGUUAGCGGCGGACGGGUGAGUAACACGUGGGUAACCUACCUAUAAGACUGGGAUAACUCCGGGAAACCGGGGCUAAUACCGGAUAAUAUUUUGAACCGCAUGGUUCAAUAGUGAAAGACGGUUUCGGCUGUCACUUAUAGAUGGACCCGCGCCGUAUUAGCUAGUUGGUAAGGUAACGGCUUACCAAGGCGACGAUACGUAGCCGACCUGAGAGGGUGAUCGGCCACACUGGAACUGAGACACGGUCCAGACUCCUACGGGAGGCAGCAGUAGGGAAUCUUCCGCAAUGGGCGAAAGCCUGACGGAGCAACGCCGCGUGAGUGAUGAAGGUCUUCGGAUCGUAAAACUCUGUUGUUAGGGAAGAACAAAUUUGUUAGUAACUGAACAAGUCUUGACGGUACCUAACCAGAAAGCCACGGCUAACUACGUGCCAGCAGCCGCGGUAAUACGUAGGUGGCAAGCGUUAUCCGGAAUUAUUGGGCGUAAAGCGCGCGUAGGCGGUUUCUUAAGUCUGAUGUGAAAGCCCACGGCUCAACCGUGGAGGGUCAUUGGAAACUGGGAAACUUGAGUGCAGAAGAGGAGAGUGGAAUUCCAUGUGUAGCGGUGAAAUGCGCAGAGAUAUGGAGGAACACCAGUGGCGAAGGCGGCUCUCUGGUCUGUAACUGACGCUGAUGUGCGAAAGCGUGGGGAUCAAACAGGAUUAGAUACCCUGGUAGUCCACGCCGUAAACGAUGAGUGCUAAGUGUUAGGGGGUUUCCGCCCCUUAGUGCUGCAGCUAACGCAUUAAGCACUCCGCCUGGGGAGUACGACCGCAAGGUUGAAACUCAAAGGAAUUGACGGGGACCCGCACAAGCGGUGGAGCAUGUGGUUUAAUUCGAAGCAACGCGAAGAACCUUACCAAAUCUUGACAUCCUUUGACCGCUCUAGAGAUAGAGUCUUCCCCUUCGGGGGACAAAGUGACAGGUGGUGCAUGGUUGUCGUCAGCUCGUGUCGUGAGAUGUUGGGUUAAGUCCCGCAACGAGCGCAACCCUUAAGCUUAGUUGCCAUCAUUAAGUUGGGCACUCUAGGUUGACUGCCGGUGACAAACCGGAGGAAGGUGGGGAUGACGUCAAAUCAUCAUGCCCCUUAUGAUUUGGGCUACACACGUGCUACAAUGGAUAAUACAAAGGGCAGCGAAUCCGCGAGGCCAAGCAAAUCCCAUAAAAUUAUUCUCAGUUCGGAUUGUAGUCUGCAACUCGACUACAUGAAGCUGGAAUCGCUAGUAAUCGUAGAUCAGCAUGCUACGGUGAAUACGUUCCCGGGUCUUGUACACACCGCCCGUCACACCACGAGAGUUUGUAACACCCGAAGCCGGUGGAGUAACCUUUUAGGAGCUAGCCGUCGAAGU